UGGAGUACCCCUCCCAAUCAAAUCAUAAUGAACUGUUCUGGUGGUUCCUCUGGAGAAGAUUUCUGAUCAGAGUUUGUGCCUUCGCAGCCAUUAUCCAGCUCUACAGCUUUUCUGGCUCCAGCUGCUCUUAAAACUGUCUUAACAAUUUCUUGAAAAAAAUUAUUUCCUGAAUUCCUCUCUCCUUCAGACAAUCUCAGGUCACUUUUUUGAUCUUCAUUGCUGUCUGAAUUUUCUAGACAGUGAAUUCUGUAGCUGCCACUAUCUUUUCUUGUGUGGGUUGAUGCCACACUACGAGUCUGGGCUCAAGACUGACCAGCUGAAGAGAAGGCAAACUAUGUUCAAGCUUAGACUUCAAAUAACACUUGUUAUAGAUUAAUGCUGAAUAUUGCUAUUAGUGGUAAUCAUAAAUAUACCAGGUCUGGUUUAUAUUAUAUUAGGUAAGGAGUACUCUCUCUGUGUAUUCAUGUCCUUUGUUCAUGUGAAUUUUCUACAGGCUAUUGUAGUCUAGUCUAGUUUAGUUCAUUGUUGUUUUAUUCUACCCAAACUCUGCUAUUUAGGCUCUGUGAUGUGCAGCUCCAUGACAUCAUUGCAAGAUUGCACAAGGUCCUAAAGCCCCUAUACAACAGGAACUGACAGAUACCAGUCAGUGUAAAAUAUUCCCUUGAUAAAGGACUGGGAGACCAUAAUAAACUAUACACUUUAUCUAAUCCUGUGCUGUACCUGUUCUGGGAGUAUUUGAUAGGGGCAGUGUAGAGGAAGCUUUUCUCUGUAGUUAACCUCAUUCCGUACCUGUACUGGGAUUGGGACAGUGUGAAGUGUGUUUUCUAACCUGAUUGACCAGUCCUUUUUCAAGGAUGAGUCUUUGCCCACUUGUUGCUGUAUAAAUUCAGAAGGAUCAAGAACAGAAUGAAAGAGGGAGGUGGGGGUGAUGUUUGAUAAUAAUCCCACCCAGACUAAACAUAGAUUCAGCAGCUGCUGUUUACAUCCUGAAUAAUGCGCUGAGCUAACUGGUCAGACAGCUCUCUAGAGAGGAACAGUGCAGCAGCUCUCCCUCAGAACACAGACUGGAUUCAAUAUGAACUGUCAUGAAGUGUGAAUGAGAUGCUCAUACACGUAUUAACUGUUAACUGUCUGACAAUCUGUGAAAUGUGAGCCAUACUGAUAUUGCACCUUAAACAUUGCUGUUGAUUGAUGGUGAAUCGUUUUGUAACUGAGGACCCAGCUCCUCAGCUACCCUGCACCUCUUCAUUAUGUUUCAGGAUGAUUACCUUCCCAUCACAGCCCUGUCCAGACCAAACCAGUGGACAUGACAUUUACCACGAGGUUGGUCUAUGAGAUCUCGGAAGACAACUUUGAAGGAAAUAGAAAUAGAUUUGUUCAAUGGGCCAAUAUUUAUCUUUCAGCCAUCAUCACAAAAAUGCCAUAAUUAUCAGGUCAUUACCACAUCGAUAUUUGUGGGAUCUUGUGUAAACAGAAAACUACCGCACUGGUGCAGCGGCUAACUAGGAAAGUGACUGGAGUGUUGACCCUUAUUUCAAAGGGAUUGGACUUUAAGACUGUGCAAGGUGUUGGCAUUGUGAGCAGUUUUGGUCCCGAUAU